GAAGGUAUAGCUCAGUGGUGGAGCACAUGCCUAGCAUGCACGAGGUCCUGGGUUCAAUCCCCAGUGCCUCCA
rnacentral:tRNA from 1 species